rnacentral:rRNA from 1 species
AGAGUUUGAUCCUGGCUCAGGAUGAACGCUAGCGGCAGGCUUAAUACAUGCAAGUCGAGGGGCAGCGCAGUGUAGCAAUACACGGGCGGCGACCGGCAAACGGGUGCGGAACACGUACGCAAUCUACCCAAAACUGAUGAAUAGCCCUCCGAAAGGAGGAUUAAUACAUCGUAACCUAUUGAUGUGGCAUCACAUUAUUAGUAUAGCUCCGGCGGUUUUGGAUGAGCGUGCGCCUGAUUAGGUAGUUGGUGCGGGUAACGGCCCACCAAGCCUGCGAUCAGUAACUGGUGUGAGAGCACGACCAGUCACACGGGCACUGAGACACGGGCCCGACUCCUACGGGAGGCAGCAGUAAGGAAUAUUGGUCAAUGGACGCAAGUCUGAACCAGCCAUGCCGCGUGAAGGAUGAAGGUCCUCUGGAUUGUAAACUUCUUUUACAGGGGAAGAAACCGGAAAAUUCUUUUUCCGUUGACGGUACCCUGGGAAUAAGCACCGGCUAACUCCGUGCCAGCAGCCGCGGUAAUACGGAGGGUGCAAGCGUUAUCCGGAUUCACUGGGUUUAAAGGGUGCGUAGGUGGGUCUGUAAGUCAGUGGUGAAAUCUCCAAGCUUAACUUGGAAACUGCCGUUGAUACUAUAGGUCUUGAAUGUUGUGGAGGUGAGCGGAAUAUGUCAUGUAGCGGUGAAAUGCUUAGAUAUGACAUAGAACACCAAUUGCGAAGGCAGCUCACUACACAAAUAUUGACACUGAGGCACGAAAGCGUGGGGAUCAAACAGGAUUAGAUACCCCGGUAGUCC